GACGAACGCUGGCGGCGUGCCUAAUACAUGCAAGUUGAGCGAUGAAGAUUGGUGCUUGCACCAAUUUGAAGAGCAGCGAACGGGUGAGUAACGCGUGGGGAAUCUGCCUUUGAGCGGGGGACAACAUUUGGAAACGAAUGCUAAUACCGCAUAAUAACUUUAAACAUAAGUUUUAAGUUUGAAAGAUGCAAUUGCAUCACUCAAAGAUGAUCCCGCGUUGUAUUAGCUAGUUGGUGAGGUAAAGGCUCACCAAGGCGAUGAUACAUAGCCGACCUGAGAGGGUGAUCGGCCACAUUGGGACUGAGACACGGCCCAAACUCCUACGGGAGGCAGCAGUAGGGAAUCUUCGGCAAUAGACGAAAGUCUGACCGAGCAACGCCGCGGGAGUGAAGAAGGGUUUCGGAUCGUAAAACUCGGUUGGUAGAGAAGAACGUUGGUGAGAGUGGAAAGCUCAUCAAGUGACGGUAACUACCCAGAAAGGGACGGCUAACUACGUG
rnacentral:rRNA from 1 species